rnacentral:rRNA from 1 species
UAACUUACAUCUAUAAACGCCAGGGAAUUACGAGCUACGCUUAAAACCCAAAGGAUUUGACGGUGUCCCACCCACCUAGAGGAGCCUGUUCUAUAAUCGAUAAUACCCGCUAUACCCAACCACCUCUUGCUAUUCAGUCUGUAUACCUCCGUCGAAAGCUUACCAUGUGAACGCCUACAGUGAGUACAAUUACCCCAACGUCAACACGUCAGGUCAAGGUGCAGCUUAAGGGGUGGAAAGAAAUGGGCUACAAUUUCUAAUCUAGAACAAACGAAAGACUAUGUGAAAUCAUGGUACUGAAGGCGGAUUUAGCAGUAAAAAGAAAAUAGAGCGUUCUUUUUAACCUGGCUCUGGGACGCGUACACACCGCCCGUCAC